rnacentral:rRNA from 1 species
GAUGAACGCUGGCGGCGUGCCUAAUACAUGCAAGUCGAGCGAACGGACGAGAAGCUUGCUUUUCUGAUGUUAGCGGCGGACGGGUGAGUAACACGUGGAUAACCUACCUAUAACACUGGGAUAACUUCGGGAAACCGGAGCUAAUACCGGAUAAUAUUUUGAACCGCAUUGUUCAAAAGUGAAAGACGGUCUUGCUGUCACUUAUAGAUGGAUCCGCGCUGCAUUAGCUAGUUGGUAAGGUAACGGCUUACCAAGGCAACGAUGCAUAGCCGACCUGAGAGGGUGAUCGGCCACACUGGAACUGAGACACGGUCCAGACUCCUACGGGAGGCAGCAGUAGGGAAUCUUCCGCAAUGGGCGAAAGCCUGACGGAGCAACGCCGCGUGAGUGAUGAAGGUCUUCGGAUCGUAAAACUCUGUUAUUAGGGAAGAACAUAUGUGUAAGUAACUGUGCACAUCUUGACGGUACCUAAUCAGAAAGCCACGGCUAACUACGUG